AGUGAACGCUGGCGGUAGGCCUAACACAUGCAAGUCGAACGGCAGCACAGUAAGAGCUUGCUCUUACGGGUGGCGAGUGGCGGACGGGUGAGGAAUACAUCGGAAUCUACUUUUUCGUGGGGGAUAACGUAGGGAAACUUACGCUAAUACCGCAUACGACCUACGGGUGAAAGCAGGGGAUCUUCGGACCUUGCGCGAUUGAAUGAGCCGAUGUCGGAUUAGCUAGUUGGCGGGGUAAAGGCCCACCAAGGCGACGAUCCGUAGCUGGUCUGAGAGGAUGAUCGGCCACACUCGAACUGAGACACGGUCCAGACUCCUGCGGGAGGCAGCAGUGGGGAAUAUUGGACAAUGGGCGCAAGCCUGAUCCAGCCAUACCGCGUGGGUGAAGAAGGCCUUCGGGUUGUAAAGCCCUUUUGUUGGGAAAGAAAAGCAGCAGGUUAAUACCCCGCUGUUCUGACGGUACCCAAAGAAUAAGCACCGGCUAACUUCGUG
rnacentral:rRNA from 1 species